rnacentral:rRNA from 1 species
UAAUGAGGGAAGGAAAAGAAACUAACUAGGAUUUUCUUAGUAGCGGCGAGCGAAAAGAAAUUUAGUUCAGCACUGAGUUAUUUUGUUAUUUUAACAAAUAUAAGAUGCAGUGUAUAGAAUAUCUAUAAUCUAGUAUGAUAAAUUAAUAGUCCAAGUCCUUCUUAAAUGAGGCCAUUUACCCAUAGAGGGUGCCAGGCCCGUAGUGACGUUAAUGAUUACUAGAAGAUAUUUCUUAAGAGUCGUGUUGCUUGAUAGUGCAGCACUAAUUGGGUGGUAAACUCCAUCUAAAACUAAAUAUAACCAUGAGACCGAUAGCAAACAAGUACCGUGAGGGAAAGUUGAAAAGAACUCUGAAUAGAGAGUUAAAUAGUACGUGAAACUGCUUAGAGGUUAAGCCCGAUGAACCUGAAUAUCCAAUAUGAAAAAUUCAUCAUUAAUAAUAUAUUAAAAAUAUUAAUAUAUAAAUAAUGUGCAAUUUUUUCAUAUAAGGACAUUGUAAUCUGUUAAUAUAAUUAAAAAUUUAUCAUAAGUAUCGUUUAGAUCAGUUUAUAUUUUAUUAUAAAAUUUUUUUUUAUAAUAUAUAUAAAAUCUAAUUUAAAUGCGAUUACAGAUAAAUUAUUGACAGAUUUUUAUAUAUAUAACGCUUACAAAUAAUUAUUGUUAUAAUAAGAUAAUAAUUAUAUAUUAUUAUUUUUUUUAUAUGCGUUUAUAUGAUUAACAAUGCUAUAGAUUUAGGAUACCUUCGGGACCCGUCUUGAAACACGGACCAAGGAGUCUAACAUGUGUGCAAGUCAUUGGGUUUAUAAAACCUAAAGGCAUAAUUAACUUAACUGUUUUUAAUGGGAUCAUAUAUAUAUAUUUUUUUUUAUUAAUUAAUUAAUAUUAUAUUCCAUCCCGGGGCGUUCUAUAUAGUUAUGCAUUUUAAUAUAUUUUAUAUAUUAUAUAUGCCUCUAACUAGAGCGUACCUUGAGCAUAUAUGUUGUGACCCGAAAGAUGGUGAACUAUACCUGAUCAGGUUGAAGUCAGGGGAAACCCUGAUGGAAGACCGAAACAGUUCUGACGUGCAAAUCGAUUGUCAGAAUUGGGUAUAGGGGCGAAAGACCAAUCGAACCAUCUAGUAGCUGGUUCCCUCCGAAGUUUCCCUCAGGAUAGCUGGUGCAUUUAAAUAUUAUAUAAAAUAAUCUUAUCUGGUAAAGCGAAUGAUUAGAGGCAUUAGGGCCGAAACGACCUUAACCUAUUCUCAAACUUUAAAUGGGUAAGAACCUCACCUUUCUUGAUAUGAAGGUGUAGGUUGUGAUAUAUUGUGCCCAGUGGGCCACUUUUGGUAAGCAGAACUGGCGCUGUGGGAUGAACCAAACGUGAUGUUACGGCGCCCAAAUUAACAACUCAUACUGAUACCAUGAAAGGCGUUGCUUGCUUAAAACAGCAGGACGGUGGACAUGGAAGUCGUAAUCCGCUAAGGAGUGUGUAACAACUCACCUGCCGAAGCAACUAGCCCUUAAAAUGGAUGGCGCUCAAGUUGUAUGCCUAUACAUCACCGCUAAAAUAUAUGAUAUAUAAAAAUUAAUUAAAUUUUUUAUAAAUUUUAAAAUUUUAGUGAGUAGGAGGGUACAAUGGUGUGCGUAGAAGUGUUUGGCGUAAGCCUGCAUGGAGCCGCCAUUGGUACAGAUCUUGGUGGUAGUAGCAAAUAAUCGAAUGAGACCUUGGAGGACUGAAGUGGAGAAGGGUUUCGUGUGAACAGUGGUUGAUCACGAGUUAGUCGGUCCUAAGUUCAAGGCGAAAGCCGAAAAAUUUUAAGUUAUAUUUAAAUAAUAUUUUUAAUUAAUAUACUUAUUAUUUUGAACGAAAGGGAAUACGGUUCCAAUUCCGUAACCUGUUGAGUAUACGUUUGUUAUUAAAAAUGGGCUUUUAUGCUCAUCCUGGUAACAGAAACAACCAUAAAGAAGCCGUCGAGAAAUAUCGAAAGAGUUUUCUUUUCUGUUUCAUAGUCGUACUACCAUGGAAGUCUUUCGAAGAGAGAUAUGGUAGAUGGACUAGAAGAGCAUGGCAUUUACUGCUGUGUCGAUAUUUUCUCCUCGGACCUUGAAAAUUUAUGGUGGGGUCACGCAAACUUCUUAACAGGCCGUACCGAUAUCCGCAGCUGGUCUCCAAGGUGAAGAGUCUCUAGUCGAUAGAAUA